rnacentral:rRNA from 1 species
UACGUAGGGGGCUAGCGUUGUCCGGAAUCAUUGGGCGUAAAGAGCGUGUAGGCGGUCCGGUAAGUCCGCUGUGAAAGUCGGGGGCUCAACCCUCGAAUGCCGGUGGAUACUGUCGGGCUAGAGUGCGGAAGAGGCGAGUGGAAUUCCUAGUGUAGCGGUGAAAUGCGCAGAUAUUAGGAGGAACACCGGUGGCGAAGGCGCCGCUCUGGGCCGAAACUGACGCUGAGGAGCGAAAGCAUGGGUAGCAAACAGGG